GGGCGAGUGGCGGAAUCUGGUAGACGCGCUAGACUUAGGAUCUAGUGGGAAACCGUGGGGGUUCAAAUCCCUUCUCGCCCACCA
rnacentral:tRNA from 1 species